UACCUCUCAUUCUCUUUUCUCUUCUUCUCUCGUUCUCUUCUCUCUCUGUUCCUUAAACAUUGAAACAAAAUAUAUACCUUUGUUUCCUUGUUGAUUUUUGAGAAAAAAACUUAUUAGGGUUUAGAUUAUUAGGGCUCAGACACUUAAUUCUUUUUCCCAUUUCAAUUUCAGACUCCAAAUCUCAGCUAAGGCUUUGGUUAAACUGAUUCAGAUCGAGUAUCCAUAUCAUUCCGGUGGACUAGUGGAUCUAGCGGGUUCAGAUCUUAUGUGUAAGGUUCAUCCAUCAACCAAAAUCUCAGAAAAGUAAUGGCGGGAUUACAAAUUAUCUGGUCGAGGGGAAAGGAGAGAGUUAUAUAGCCUUCUUGUUUCAUCUUUUGUUUUUCCGAGUUUCUUUAAAUGAAGAUAUACAAUUUCCAGUAGCACCACUUACUCGUGAAUGCUACAUAACUUUUCAAACUGUGAAGUAUUUUAACAAUGAGGAAUUUGAAGAUGAGAAGUACGAUGAGUUCAUAAAAAAAUAUGAGGAUGCGUCUAUAAAAACUAGCAGUAGUCUUGCUUUUUUGAACUUCGUUCAAAGCGUGAUAUUUAGCACGACUCUUUCAAUGGCUAUGGUAUUGUGUUCACAUGGAAUUAUGAGGGGAGAGAUGACGGUGAUUUGGUUAUGGUAAAUGGGCUUCUUUUCCAGCUAUCUCUUCCUCUCAAUUUUCUUGGUGGUGUGUAUCGGGAGUCCAAGCAGGGUCUUGUUGAUAUGAAGUCCAUGUUUCAGUUACUAGAGCCUCUGUACUAAGAAACAAGAAAUGACCACAGGGCACGCGCUAUUGAUUCAGUGAGCGAGAUCUUUGACAUAGUUAAUAAUCCUGGAGCAAGCACCUCGUGAUUCUGUGUGAAAGGAUGUCCUACUCGGAUAAGUUGGUUUAUGGGAACCAUAUCAGCUGCCCAAGUUGUUGAUACAAUGUGUUGAAGUUGAACUGCAGAACACUUAUACAUGCUUUAACUUCUAUCUGUUCAGCAUAAGGACCAAAAAAUGAGGUCCAAGCACCUUUAAUUUGCUUUUCUAAUAAGAGGUUUUGUUGCAUCUCAUUACCUCACAGGCAUACCGGUGGAUCAUGUUUUGGUCGCAGUUAGAGGGACGGAUCUGUUCAUGGGAGCUGCUGGGAUGAUUUAAUUAUUGUGUUGCUUUUCAUUGUUCUACUCUGACUUCUUAUAUCUAGCUUUCCUUCUUACACUGAUUAACAUCCUUAACUAAUUAUGUCUUAUAAUUUCAUGACUUUUAACAGUGUAAACAAGAUUAGCUUUUCCUGACUUAUUGCGAAGUUUGAAACUCUUUUUAGUCGAGUAUUUGCAAGUGUAAGUCAACUAGAUAUGCUUUAGUGAAAGAUGGACAUCUUGUCUAAACCAAAAUCCUGUGCUGAUAAACUACUUUGUUGUACUUGCUGCAAUAGAUGCUUUUCCGAUCUUUUUUUCCCCCUUAAUGUAUACUUGUUGUCCUAUCCCGUUUCCUGGUUUUCAUUGGUUUUUUUUCCAUUUUCCACAUGCAUACCAAGUGGUAUUACAUUCUUCCUUGGAGGUGAUCCUUGUUGGUAGAUCCGGUUCAAGAGCUUGUUAAAUCAUUGACUGGUAAAGACCCAAAUGUUACUGUAAAUCUUGGUGAAGUUAUUGCUCUUGGUGCCCCAUUUCGGUAUGCUCGACAAGCAGCUGGUCGGCUCUCAUGGUCAAUACUUUUGCAAAUGCUUCUGCCAGUACAGGUUCACCAAUGGUUCCAUGUUUUGUUUCAAUUUGAAACUGAUUUUUUUUUUGGUAGUUUCUCUAUCAGAAUGUAUACUUUUCAGAUUUCUAUAGUGUUAUGUAAUUUUUUUUCACAUUUGGAACUUUAGAGAUUGUAGUUUGUUGAACUUGUAAAAUGAAGUCAGUUAAUAAUUGUCAUUCAGUUUCAAUUUUUUUGAUAGUUUUGUUGGAUUAACUUGAUUACCAAAUAAAAAUGGUUACU